rnacentral:rRNA from 1 species
AGAGUUUGAUCAUGGCUCAGGAUGAACGCUGGCGGCGUGCCUAAUACAUGCAAGUCGAACGAACAGAUAAGGAGCUUGCUCCUUUGACGUUAGCGGCGGACGGGUGAGUAACACGUGGGUAACCUACCUAUAAGACUGGGAUAACUUCGGGAAACCGGAGCUAAUACCGGAUAAUAUUUCGAACCGCAUGGUUCGAUAGUGAAAGAUGGUUUUGCUAUCACUUAUAGAUGGACCCGCGCCGUAUUAGCUAGUUGGUAAGGUAACGGCUUACCAAGGCGACGAUACGUAGCCGACCUGAGAGGGUGAUCGGCCACACUGGAACUGAGACACGGUCCAGACUCCUACGGGAGGCAGCAGUAGGGAAUCUUCCGCAAUGGGCGAAAGCCUGACGGAGCAACGCCGCGUGAGUGAUGAAGGUCUUCGGAUCGUAAAACUCUGUUAUUAGGGAAGAACAUACGUGUAAGUAACUGUGCACGUCUUGACGGUACCUAAUCAGAAAGCCACGGCUAACUACGUGCCAGCAGCCGCGGUAAUACGUAGGUGGCAAGCGUUAUCCGGAAUUAUUGGGCGUAAAGCGCGCGUAGGCGGUUUUUUAAGUCUGAUGUGAAAGCCCACGGCUCAACCGUGGAGGGUCAUUGGAAACUGGAAAACUUGAGUGCAGAAGAGGAAAGUGGAAUUCCAUGUGUAGCGGUGAAAUGCGCAGAGAUAUGGAGGAACACCAGUGGCGAAGGCGACUUUCUGGUCUGUAACUGACGCUGAUGUGCGAAAGCGUGGGGAUCAAACAGGAUUAGAUACCCUGGUAGUCC